UUGAUACUGUAAAUUCCAUGAGGGCAUCUUGGAUUUUGUUCUAUGCCCACACUCCAGCAAAACAAUCCCUGGCACAGAACAACCAUUCCAUGAAUUUCUGGUACUUCGAUGAAUAACUGAAUCAAUGGAAAUGGCAGACCAGAGGAGUAAAAUCAUCUUUCCAAAGUCAUCACCAAAAGGCAGAACUGAACCGUGUGACAUUGAGUUCUCAGACUCUCAGACCAGACUUUUUCCAUCACUUUGUUUUUCUUAGUUUUGCUUUCUACAGUUUCAGUUACCUGUGGUCAACUGCGGACGGGAAGCAGAUGAUCGUCCUUCUGACGAAUCAUGGGAUGGUCAAUAGCAGCCUAAUGCUACGUCACAUGCCUGCGCCUUUCACCGCACUUCAUCUAGUCCGUGGGCAUCUUAUCCUCUGACAUAAGCACAAGAAGACAGGUAACCAUAAAUUUAAUAUCAUUGGCCCAUGUUCCCUACAACAAAAAGUACAAAGAAUACCUGGGAGAAGUUGCAGAUGAGAAAUCAAGAGAAUAAAGCUGUUGCUAACACCAGUGUUCCUAGCGGCAAAGGGACAAGGAAAAACUAGAAGAUAAAAGUUGUUUGCUUAUUUGCUCUCUUGUACCUAUGGGAC